AGCACGGGAGCAAUCCUGGUGGCGAGUGGCGAACGGGUGAGUAAUAUAUCGGAACGUGCCCAGCCGUGGGGGAUAACGUAGAGAAAUUUACGCUAAUACCGCAUACGAUCUAAGGAUGAAAGCGGGGGAUCGCAAGACCUCGCGCGAUUGGAGCGGCUGAUAUCAGAUUAGGUUGUUGGUGAGGUAAAAGCUCACCAAGCCGACGAUCUGUAGCUGGUUUGAGAGAACGACCAGCCACACUGGGACUGAGACACGGCCCAGACUCCUACGGGAGGCAGCAGUGGGGAAUUUUGGACAAUGGGCGAAAGCCUGAUCCAGCAAUGCCGCGUGCAGGAAGAAGGCCUUCGGGUUGUAAACUGCUUUUGUACGGAACGAAACGGUCUGCCCUAAUACGGCGGGCUAAUGACGGUACCGUAAGAAUAAGCACCGGCUAACUACGUGCCAGCAGCCGCGGUAAUACGUAGGGUGCGAGCGUUAAUCGGAAUUACUGGGCGUAAAGCGUGCGCAGGCGGUUAUGUAAGACAGUUGUGAAAUCCCCGGGCUCAACCUGGGAAUUGCAUCUGUGACUGCAUAGCUAGAGUACGGUAGAGGGGGAUGGAAUUCCGCGUGUAGCAGUGAAAUGCGUAGAUAUGCGGAGGAACACCGAUGGCGAAGGCAAU
rnacentral:rRNA from 1 species